rnacentral:rRNA from 1 species
GAUGAACGCUGGCGGUAUGCUUAACACAUGCAAGUCGAACGGGAUAUCUUCGGAUAUUUAGUGGCGGACGGGUGAGUAACGCGUGAGAACAUGCCCUUAGGUUCGGGACAACAGUUGGAAACGACUGCUAAUACCGAAUGUGCCGAGAGGUGAAAGAUUAAUUGCCUAGGGAUUGGCUCGCGUCAGAUUAGCUAGUUGGUAGAGUAACGGUUUACCAAGGCGACGAUCNGUAACUGGUCUGAGAGGAUGACCAGUCACACUGGGACUGAGACACGGCCCAGACUCCUACGGGAGGCAGCAGUGGGGAAUUUUCCGCAAUGGGCGAAAGCCUGACGGAGCAAUACCGCGUGAGGGAGGACGGCUCUUGGGUUGUAAACCUCUUUUAUCAGGGAA